UACGGGGGGGGCAAGCGUUGUUCGGAAUUACUGGGCGUAAAGGGCUCGUAGGUGGCCAACUAAGUCAGACGUGAAAUCCCUCGGCUUAACCGGGGAACUGCGUCUGAUACUGGAUGGCUUGAGUUUGGGAGAGGGACGCGGAAUUCCAGGUGUAGCGGUGAAAUGCGUAGAUAUCAGGAGGAACACCGGUGGCGAAGGCGGCCCUCUGGACGGAUACUGACGCUGAGGCGCGAAAGCGUGGGGAUCAAACAGG
rnacentral:rRNA from 1 species